AUGGCAAAAGAUAUCAUGAAAAACACAAGCAUGAAUAAUAAGCAUAAUGAAAUAACUGCACACGAAAACGAUAAGAAACAACUACAACUACACACACACAAGGUGCAAGCAAAGUCAAAAGGCAAGUUCGAGGCUCAUGAUAAGAGGUUGGCUUGCCUGGGGGUCGACAAAUACUCCGGGAAGAAGUGGGAAACGAUCGCGGAAAAAUUGCCGGAAACAGUUCUCUCUCGGAGGGGCUUUUUACGGACAAGGGCAAAGUGGUCAUUUUUACAGUGUCAACCCAUAGUGAAAAUGAUGGAAACGGAACGGGCUCGACGAGACGAAGACGUGGGCAUUGGAUUUACCUCAAACGGAGUUACUGUUAAAAAGAUACGGACGUUUAAAACUCAGGGACUAAUCUGUAAAAAUUCUUCUACAAACAGGUCCCUGGCAGUUUGA
rnacentral:rRNA from 1 species